GACGAACGCUGGCGGCGUGCUUAACACAUGCAAGUCGAACGGAAAGGCCCUGCUUUUGUGGGGUGCUCGAGUGGCGAACGGGUGAGUAACACGUGAGUAACCUGCCCUUGACUUUGGGAUAACUUCAGGAAACUGGGGCUAAUACCGGAUAGGAGCUCCUGCUGCAUGGUGGGGGUUGGAAAGUUUCGGCGGUUGGGGAUGGACUCGCGGCUUAUCAGCUUGUUGGUGGGGUAGUGGCUUACCAAGGCUCUGACGGGUAGCCGGCCUGAGAGGGUGACCGGCCACAUUGGGACUGAGAUACGGCCCAGACUCCUACGGGAGGCAGCAGUGGGGAAUAUUGCACAGUGGGCGGAAGCCUGAUGCAGCAACGCCGCGUGCGGGAUGACGGCCUUCGGGUUGUAAACCGCUUUCGCCUGUGACGAAGCGUGAGUGACGGUAAUGGGUAAAGAAGCACCGGCUAACUACGUG
rnacentral:rRNA from 1 species